CGGUAUGGGUCCCAUACCCACACCCAUACUAGCGUCGUGUCGACACGGGUGUGGCACCUAAACUGAAGUGUCGGAGCAACUUAGAUUGUGAUUAGAAGAGCUCAGCUAAUGUUGUAUUAUUAACGACAAAACAAGCAUGUCAUUGGCCACAGUCAAGAUAACAUUUUAAGUAACAGAACAUCUUUAUGCAUAGGCAUAUUGAUAUUACUUUCUCCCUACACAAGUAUUUCAAUUAAGCUAUUAUUUCUAAACAUUGCUGUUCAGAUAGAAGUUUGUUUUGGGUAUGACGCACUUGCAAUUGAACUUACAUGAGAGCACUUCUCCCUCAACCAUGUUUUGAUUAGUUUAGAAAGAUUCAGAGCAAUAGGUGCUUAGACUACAGCCAUAAAAGCUGGACCCCAAUGAUAUUUGUUUAAUUCAUGGAUCAGUUGACUGAUUUGCUACUCAAGCUCAAUAUGUCCUGUAUUUUAGUGAAAGACUGAGCUUCUAUAAUUGAGAUAUACACAACUGAACUGUUACAAAGUAGUAAAUAAAUGCCAGUUUGCCACUAUUAAAUCCCAGCUGCAACAUACAUAAGAAGGUUAUUGAGUUGUGUGACCAUCUCAUCUAAAAGCUUAAGCCAUUAGAGAGAGUAAACUUUUAUUUACUUAUGUCUUCAACACACUCCCUCACGUGCGGGCUUGAUUCUUUUUGAUGAGCCAAGUACGUGGAAAUUCUUUUUGAUAUUGGGUGGCGGUGAGACUCGAACCCAGGACCUCUGCCUGCUGUGAUACCAUGUUGAAGUGUGUGACCAUCUCAUAUAAAAGCUUAAGCUAUUAUAGAGAGUACACUUUUAUUUACAUAAUUAUGUCUUCAACAAAAGUUACCCACACUUCAUAAAGGAGUAUAUACUGGGGGUUGAAACCAAGACUUUAAAACCAAGGGCCUCGCCACUUAGGCUAGGCUUCAUGCUAGAGUUAUUUCUAAUUAAUUUGAUAUCUCUAAUUUGGAACUUCUUCCACAUGGGCUUCAUCUGCAUGUACCAGUGUAGUCCACAAACUGAUUUUGCAUGAACACCUAUUAAUCGAGUUAUUUCUAAUUAAUUCGACAUCUCUAAUUUGAAACUUCUUCCACAUGUGUUUCAUCUGCAUGUACCAGUGUAGUCCACAAACUGAUUUUGCAUGACACCUAUUAAUGUCUAUCCCUUGACAAGCAUAAAAACUCUUUCUCUGGACAGUUGACAGUCUUUGGAGUCCUUAC
rnacentral:lncRNA from 1 species